rnacentral:rRNA from 1 species
CGUAGGGUGCAAGCGUUAAUCGGAAUUACUGGGCGUAAAGGGUGCGCAGGCGGUGAUGUAAGACAGGGGUGAAAUCCCCGGGCUUAACCUGGGAACUGCAUUUGUGACUGCAUCGCUGGAGUGCGGCAGAGGGGGAUGGAAUUCCGCGUGUAGCAGUGAAAUGCGUAGAUAUGCGGAGGAACACCGAUGGCGAAGGCAAUCCCCUGGGCCUGCACUGACGCUCAUGCACGAAAGCGUGGGGAGCAAACAGG